ensembl:lncRNA
GUGUUGUGGCUUAUGGUCACAGAGGUUUAGUACUUGGUCAGCUUGCUCCAAGGCAGGAUCAUCAUGGUGGAAGGUAUGGUAGAGCAAGAUGCUCACUUCAUGGUGGCCAGGAAGCAGAGGUUAGGGGAAGUGCCAGGGAGAGGGACACACUCCAAAGACCUGUACCCACGACCACCUCCAAGUGGACACCACCUCCUACCAGCAUAUCCAGCUGUAAACACUAGUGGAUUAAUUCACUUAUGAGUCUAGCGCUCCACGAGGCCAUCCCCAGAGUCUCAGCCCAGUCAAGUGAGAAGACCAACUGGCAUCGGUGAUUAAGCUGCAAGUUCUCAACUUUAAACACAGCUUGGAAUCUUGCCCACCCCAUGCAGUUGUGUGCUGCCAAGGGCACCCUGAGCCCAGGCCAAGCCAGAUCAAAGACUGGAUGCUCAGAAAAGGACACCAUCACUGCCAGCCAGGCCAGGCAUCUACAUCUGGCUGUCACUAGCCAGGCCUCAGAAACAUUAGGGCAGAACAGGAGGUAGCUAAGGAGAAGGCUGAGAAAGGAGGGAGGGCCCACCUCGAAGCCACUUUCUGGGACUGCAUCUGCCUUGUGUGUUAAACCCUAGCUGGGCCCAGGAUGCCCAGGUCUGAGCAUGGUGGGAGAAGAGAAUCAGGAAGCUUAGCUACACACAAUUUGACCACCGUGGGCUUUGGACACCAUAACAGCUCCUCCAAGGGAUUAAAGGUCCACGCUGCCCAGCAGAGGGCCUCAGUCAAGCCGGUCAUUUGCCAGUCAGACUCCUCUCUCACAAAUUACUGGUCCUGCUAUUCCUCUUGGGUCCUGCUGGAGUCUUUGUUUAGAACAUCAGGAACCUGGACAAGAUCCCAGCAAGGUAACAUCAUCACUCAAAACCUGCGUUUGGAAGUGACUGCACAUAGUAAGCAGGAUGAAUUAGUCACCUCCAAAAAGGUCCUCAUCCCCAACCUCAGGACCUGUGUUCUUCCAUGGAAAGAUUGUUAAUAAAAGUACCUGCUGG